UGCUAGCAGCCGCGGUAAUACGGAGGGUGCAACCGUUGCUCGGAAUCAUUGGGCGUAAAGCACACGUAGGCGGCCGGACAAGUUGGAUGUGAAAGCCCAGGGCUCAACCCUGGAAGUACACCCAAAACUGUUCGGCUUGAGUGCCGGAGGGGCUCAGAGAAUUCCCGGUGUAGAGGUGAAAUUCGUAGAUAUCGGGAGGAAUACCAGUGGCGAAGGCGCUGGGCUGGACGGUUACUGACGCUGAGGUGUGAAAGCGUGGGGAGCAAACAGGAUUAGAUA
rnacentral:rRNA from 1 species